rnacentral:rRNA from 1 species
CAGUCGCCACGGUAAUACGUAGGGUGCAAGCGUUGUCCGGAAUUAUUGGGCGUAAAGAGCUCGUAGGCGGUUUGUCGCGUCUGCUGUGAAAUCCCGAGGCUCAACCUCGGGCUUGCAGUGGGUACGGGCAGACUAGAGUGCGGUAGGGGAGAUUGGAAUUCCUGGUGUAGCGGUGGAAUGCGCAGAUAUCAGGAGGAACACCGAUGGCGAAGGCAGAUCUCUGGGCCGUAACUGACGCUGAGGAGCGAAAGCGUGGGGAGCGAACAGGAUUAGAUACCCGAGUAGUCCCUGUCUCUUAUAC